rnacentral:rRNA from 1 species
GAAUUUUGGACAAUGGGGGCAACCCUGAUCCAGCCAUCCCGCGUGUGCGAUGAAGGCCUUCGGUUUGUAAAGCCCUUUUGGCAGGUAAGAAACGGCUCUGGCUAAUACCUGGAGCUGCUGACGGUACCUGCAGAAUAAGCACCAGCUAACUACGUGCCCGCCGCCGCGGUAAAACGUAGGGUGCAAGCGUUAAUCGGAAUUACUGGGCGUACAGCGUGCGCAGGCGGUUCGGCAAGAAGGAUGUGAAAUCCCAGGGCUUAACCUUGGAACUGCAUUCUUAACUGCCGGGCUAGAGUAUGUCAGAGGGGGGUAGAAUUCCGCGUGUAGCAGUGAAAUGCGUAGAGAUGCGGAGGAAUACCGAUGGCGAAGGCAGCCCCCUGGGAUAAUACUGACGCUCAUGCACGAAAGCGUGGGGAGCAAAC